rnacentral:rRNA from 1 species
AGAGUUUGAUCAUGGCUCAGGAUGAACGCUAGCUACAGGCUUAACACAUGCAAGUCGAGGGGAAACGACAUCGAAAGCUUGCUUUUGAUGGGCGUCGACCGGCGCACGGGUGAGUAACGCGUAUCCAACCUGCCCAUCACUUGGGGAUAACCUUGCGAAAGUAAGACUAAUACCCAAUGAUAUCUCUAGAAGGCAUCUGAAAGAGAUUAAAGAUUUAUCGGUGAUGGAUGGGGAUGCGUCUGAUUAGCUUGUUGGCGGGGUAACGCCCACCAAAGCAACGAUCGAGUAGGGGUUCUGAGAGGAAGGUCCCCANAUUGGAACUGAGACACGGUCCAAACUCCUACGGGAGGCA